rnacentral:misc_RNA from 1 species
UCCGGUUUGUCACCGGCAGUCUUCCAUGAGUCCCCAACCUAAUGCUGGCAACUAAGGACAGGGGUUGCGCUCGUUGCGCCACUUAAGGCAACAUCUCACGACACGAGCUGACGACAGCCAUGCACCACCUGCACACCAACCACAAGGGAACACCCAUCUCUGAGUGCGUCUGGCGCAUGUCAAACCCAGGUAAGGUUCUUCGCGUUGCAUCGAAUUAAUCCACAUGCUCCGCCGCUUGUGCGGGCCCCCGUCAAUUCCUUUGAGUUUCAGUCUUGCGACCGUACUCCCCAGGCGGCGAACUUAACGCGUUAGCUUCGACACUGAGAGCCUAGUUGCUCCCAACGUCCAGUUCGCAUCGUUUAGGGCGUGGACUAC